UGGAGAACGGUGCCAGCCCGCCAGCCGAGUGGUUCCCGCGUGCCCAGGGCUCCGGCCCCCGCCAGCCCGGCAGCGACGGCGACGGCAGGAGCUUCCGAGUGAACCUGCACUGCAAACACCCCCGGAACAGAGAGCUCAAGUGCAAUAGCAGGAGCAGCAGCAAAGCCGAAGGUCCCGGUGUCACCUUCCCUGACCCCCAUGUCAGCAACUGCCUGGCCAAGCGGCACGCGGGGGAGGAGGAGGUCAGGAUGCGC